CGUUGAAACACCGGUUCGCGUACGAUCACCGAUGUUAAGCCACGUUGAGCCUUACCAGUAAUUAGAUGGGUGAGCGCUUAGGAAUACCAGAUGCU